UUCACAUCCAUCGUCGAAGAAACGCCUCUAGCGGCUGUCAGGAUGACAGCCACUAGAGGGUGGAUUAAUCCUGCUAUGUAAACAUAGCAGUUUCUCUGAAACUGCUAUGUUUACAUCUGAAGGGUUAAAACCUGAGGGACAUUGCACCCAGACCACUUCAUUGAGCCGAAGUGGUCUGGGUGACUAUAGAGUCCCUUUAACAUAUCAUCAUACAAGCUACUACUAGUAAUUCA